rnacentral:rRNA from 1 species
CGAAAGCCUGACGGAGCAAGACCGCGUGAGGGAGGAAGGCUCUUGGGUUGUAAACCUCUUUUCUCAGGGAAGAAGCUCUGACGGUACCUGAGGAAUCAGCCUCGGCUAACUCCGUGCCAGCAGCCGCGGUAAUACGGAGGAGGCAAGCGUUAUCCGGAAUUAUUGGGCGUAAAGCGUCCGCAGGUGGCGAUUCAAGUCUGCUGUCAAAGCACGGGGCUUAACUCCGUAAAGGCAGUGGAAACUGAAUAGCUAGAGUUCGGUAGGGGCAAAGGGAAUUCCCGGUGUAGCGGUGAAAUGCGUAGAGAUCGGGAAGAACAUCGGUGGCGAAAGCGCUUUGCUAGACCGAAACUGACACUCAGGGACGAAAGCUAGGGGAGCG